CAAAAAUUCCAAUUCCCAAUACAUCUUAUUCUCCAUCCAAAUCCUCUCUCACCAUCAGCAUUCAGUAAACAUCCUCGUCCAAACCCGAGGACGAAUGAUCCCUCUCCACUUCGAAGAAUUCCCCCAUACACAUACACACACGCAUACUUCAUCAAUUUUAUCUAUCCCCAAAUAUCUCCUCGAGAGGUUCCCCCAAAAAACCAAUCCUCGAUUCCCAAACGGGAAGCGGUCCCUCAUUAUCGCACCUCGACGCGGUAUGUUUGCUCGAAAACGUUCAAGGAUACCUUCCAGCCGGAAAUAACGGCCCUCUAUACGCAGAUAGCCGGAAGGAAGGCGUCUUAAGGACAGAUUAACGCGGGCAUCGAUCAAGCUGGCGAGAAUCGGUGUUUCUCGGGGGAGGAGUACACCUCUCUCUCUCUCGUUCUUGGUAAACAGCGGUUUACCACGGGGAUCACGUUUCCCUGGCCAGGACCACACCCGGCAGCGUUUCGUGUUUGCAGCGUUAGUCGUCUCUAGACUGCACGUGGGCCACGCACGUGCGUGUUUGCGACGAACACGACGCUUCCUGACGCGAUAACCGUCACUAAACAGUAAAAUCGAUGGACGCGGAAUAUUUGACGCGAGGAUUUUUCCUUGGAGGAUACCUGGUUGGGUCAUUCUACGGCAGGAGCAUAGAUUUGUAUUCAACAGAGGAGUGUCGAAUUUUCCGAGGAGAUCCUUACACCAGCUGGUUGGUUGACGUGCCAGGAGUGAUUCAUUAACUCCAAGUAUACUUUCCUUCGGAUUAUUGGACGUGGAUGGAAGUUGAAACGAUUGGAUCACGUGUCACGUCUCUGGAAUA